rnacentral:rRNA from 1 species
AUGGAUGUGCGUGCACGUGCUCAGUAUAGAAUGGAUGUGCUGUCUUCCGCUCGUCCAUCUUCGAGCCAAGCACGUGCUUCUUCCGCUCAUCCAUCUUCCAGCCGAGCAGGUGCUUCUUCGAGCCGAGCACGGAUUGAUGAAGAGGAGGAGACAGACUACGAUGCGGAUCCGGACUAUGUGGAGCUUGCGGCUUCGCAGAUGGAAGAUGCUCUACCGCCAACUCAACCUUCUCAGCCUUCUGAAGAAGCACGCCGAGUUAGCUCAAGAACCAUCCGAUGUCCUGGAUGGCAGAACACUCCAGAGGGCUACGUCAACAGGGGAAGAUGGCUGCAAAAAGAGGCAAGAAGUGAAGUGAUGACUAAUGCGAACUUGUUAGUUAUAUAUGUGGUGAACUAG